AGUUAAUUAUUUGUCAUGCUAUACAUGCAAUUGGACGACUGCUUGAAGCCGUGGGCUGCGUCCAAAACCACGUACUUACCUGCUAUAUAGUAGCUGAGAUACAUGUAUUUCACCUACUAUAUGCAUGUAUUUCACCUACUAUUUAGUAGGUGAAAUACUUGUAUAUAGCAGGUGAAAUACAUGUAUAUAGUAGGUGAAAUACAAGUUUUUUGGCUACGAUAUAGUAGGUGAAAUACUUGUAUAUAGUAGAAUAAGUGUAUAUAGUAGGUAAAAUACAUGAAUAUAGUAGGUGAAAUACAUGUAUAUAGUAGGUGAAAUACAUGUAAGUAGUAGGUGAAAUACAUGUAUAUAGUAGAAUACGUGUAUAUAGUAGGUGAAAUACUUGUACAUAGUAGGUGAAAUACAUGUAUAUAGUAGAAUACGUGUAUAUAGUUGGUGAAAUACUUGUAUAUAUUAGGUGAAAUACACGUAUUUCGGCUACAAUAUAGUAGAUGAAAUACAUGUAUAUGGUAGAAUACAUGUAUAUAGUAGGUGAAAUACAUGUAUACAGUAGGUGAAAUACAUGUAUAUAGUGGAAUACGUGUAUAUAGUAGGUGAAAUACACGUUUUUUGGUUACGAUAUAGUAGGUGAAAUACAUGUAUAUAGUAGAAUAUGUGUAUAUAGUAGGUGAAAGACAUGUAUAUAGUAGGUGAAAUACACGUAUUUCGGCUACGAUAUAGUAGGUGAAAUACAUGUAUAUAGUAGAAUACAUGUAUAUAGUAGGUACAAUACAUGUAUAUAGUAGAAUAUGUGUAUAUAGUAGGUACAAUACAUGUAUAUAGUAGAAUAGUGUAUAUAGUAGGUGAAAGACAUGUAUAUAGUAGGUGAAAUACACGUAUUUCGGCUACGAUAUAGUAGGUGAAAUACAUGUAUAA
ensembl:lncRNA